GGCUCCAUAGUGUAGUGGUUAGCAUGUCUGCUUUACACACAGAAGGGUUCACGCCCCACAUGGAGCCA
rnacentral:tRNA from 1 species